UUAAUAUAAAAGAAAAAUUGUAAGAUAGCAAGACAUGGCAAAAAAUACAGUCUUCAUUUCCCUACUCUUGUGUCUUCUCCUUGUUGCUGCUACUGAAAUGCAGAUGGCAGAAGGACAUGAUUGUGGGAAAAAAAGUGACAAGUGGCAUGGGCCUUGCCAAUAUACUUUCAAAUGUAAUAAGCACUGCAAGCAUUGGUUUGGACAUAAAUAUUAUGGAAUUUGUAAGAAAUACAAAGGGGGACACGAUAAUGAUUGGUCUAAUUAUGCUUGCUAUUGCUAUUCUCCUUGCCAUUAAUCACAAGGAACAUCAAAGUCUCAAGGUCUAAUUAUACAUAAAUAAGCAGUUGAUGUGAUUUGUUAGUUGUUUGUGUGUGUGACAAUGUAAUAAGACAUGUUAAGGCAAUAGCAUGACUAUUUUGGUAGAGCUUUUGUGUUAGCUUUUUCAUUAUAUGUGUUUCAUUGUGUUGGUGUUUUAUGCGAACUAUGGUACUAUAUGAAUAAUACUGGUGGUUUUGUUA